rnacentral:rRNA from 1 species
UACGUAGGGUGCAAGCGUUGUCCGGAAUUAUUGGGCGUAAAGAGCUCGUAGGCGGUUCGUCACGUCGGCUGUGAAAUCCCGAGGCUCAACCUCGGGUCUGCAGUCGAUACGGGCGGACUGGAGUACUGCAGGGGAGACUGGAAUUCCUGGUGUAGCGGUGGAAUGCGCAGAUAUCAGGAAGAACACCGAUGGCGAAGGCAGAUCUCUGGGCCGUAACUGACGCUGAGGAGCGAAAGCAUGGGGAGCGAACAGG